GAUAGUAUACCGGUACAAGUACCGGCUCUGCUGAGAAUCCUGGCAUGUACCAGACCAAAAUUCCUGAAUUAUCUUAGCCAUUGAUUUCUCGUGAAUCAUAACCGUUGAUGCUAGGUAUAUACAACAACUUACCUUAAUCUCUCGGUCUUUCCUCCUCUUCCUCCCUUUUCUUCUUCUGUUCUGUCUUACGAGCGAUCUAGAACUUCUUCUUCAGCAGCACCACCAGAAUAAAUCACAUCUUCUUGUUUGAUCUCAAUCCAUCAACACCUAUAUAUCACAACGAAAUCAACACCUCUCUAUCACAGCCACCACCACCUUCUCUUCACUUAUUCAUCUUCAGUUAUUUCAAAAUCUAACAGGAAAUCAGUUGAAAUUAUUGUUCUUUCAUGGAUGCAUACUAAGAAUUAGAAAAUAGUUACUAAAUAUGGAUAAGCACCGUUACUUUCAGUGGUAAUAAUAGCAGUAGUAUUUGACAUGGUGGUAUCGAUAAGUGGAUUGGAGAGAACAAGAGAUAUAAAGAACAUGUCGGGAUGCAAAAAUUACGAAAGAGCGGGAGCAAUAAAUAGGUAGAUUAUUGUCUAUUGGGUUCCUCAAUAAUUAGUUAAAUUAGUCAGUUGAGAUGUUGUUUUUAUUUUUCCUUUUUUGGUAUAAAUUAUACCACUGUAUGUUUAUUCAUUAAAGGUUCCUCAAUAAUUAGUUAAAUUAGUCAGUUGAGAUCUUUUUUUGUUUUUCCUUUUUUGGUAUAGAUUAUACUAGUGUAUGUUUAUUCAUUAAAGUUGUAUAUGAGAUGAUGGAAGGGGGUUUGCUUAAUUGAGUUCUUGACUGAGAAGAUUGUAUAAUAUUUAUUGGAUUGUGGAGAUUUUUUUUGAUAUUCAA